UUUUGUCGUUUUUGUCUUGCUAUCGUUUGGAUUCGUCCUUGUUUGGACUCUCCCUGUCUUUUUGUUUUACCUGGACUUCAGCCACUUCGUGUUUCACUGCCUGCUUUAGUUACCGCAUUAACAGCAUUACCUCACCUUGACUCAUCCCGAAGCACACAAGCAGACAGGAAAUGACCUCUGCAGCUGCCCCGUGACGGGCACCUCGUUCAACCUUCGGCCACCGAGCAGCAGAAGAAACACCUCAUGCUGCACUGACCUAAUAACUAACAUGCGCAGAUGCCGCUGGACCCAGUGGAGGAUGAGUAUUCAGCUCCUUAAGCCGAACCAAACACAGUGCGAGAGCACAGACUGACUGAAGCAACAAACUGAAACAAACGGUGACCGUUAUAUUCAGCUGCAUGGAAGAUCUGCGAGCUGUUUGAAGUAGCUUCCAGCUGCGUCACAGAGCUUUUUAUCAGGUCUAAAGCAGGUGUAAUAAACUGGACCACUGAGCGUGACCGUCCCUGAAGCCUGGGACAGAGUUCAUCAACAUGCACCCGCUGCUGCACACAGACUGUUUAAGUUAUGGAGUCUGGAAGGCUUUGCAUGCUGGAGAAAUGGCAUCGGCUCGUACUCCAGCUGCAGGGCUGCUAACAGUGAGUUACGUGGUGAGGGAGGAGGUAAAUUUCCUGAUAAUGAAAGCGAACACUCAGAGGAUAAAAUCAAAGCAAUGCUAACAAGAACCUGAUAAAAUGGGGGUCAAAAUAUGUUUGUGUGCAUUGACAGAAGUAGAGGCCAAUUUUCACUAAUAAGGUGCCACGGUUUAUGUGGUGCAUCACUAAUGGGGUACAUGGAAUACAUUUUCAUUUGCUUCAAAAGAUCUGUCAUAUGUCAAGGUUUUCUCAUGACUGUUCUCAGUUAAUUUCAUCACAUCCAUGAGAAAACAACUCCAAAUGGCUUUUAUGUUCAGCAAAUUAUUCCACUUUUGUGUGUGUUCCUUUAAUGAACUAAUGAGGUGAAAACUAGACAGAAUGUGAUCUAACAUCACAGGGAACAGUCCUUAUUCUUUGAUGAAAUAGCAACAACAGUAGAAUGAAAAGGAGUGAGGCAUCCUUUUGUUUCAUUCUGGUUUUUUUCUACCAAUCCAACAGAUGCUGCUGAAAUGAAAGAAAAGAUAAGUGAUUAAGAUAAGUGAUUUCUGCAUGUUUUGAUAGCACGCAAAAAGUCUUG